GCCUCGGUAGUCAAAUGGCUUAGGACGCUCGUAUGGAAUACUAGAGAUCCGGGUUCGACUCCCGGCCGAGGUA
rnacentral:tRNA from 1 species